rnacentral:rRNA from 1 species
AACGCUGGCGGCGUGCUUAACACAUGCAAGUCGAACGGACCGAGUUGAUAGCUUGCUAUUGAUGAGGUUAGUGGCAAACGGGUGAGUAACGCGUAGGCAACCUGCCCUUCAGAUGGGGACAACACCUCGAAAGGGGUGCUAAUACCGAAUGACGUUUCCUGGUCGCAUGACCUGGAAACCAAAGGCCGGGCAACCGGUCACUGAAGGAUGGGCCUGCGUCUGAUUAGCUAGUUGGUGGGGUAAUGGCCCACCAAGGCGACGAUCAGUAGCCGGUCUGAGAGGAUGAACGGCCACAUUGGGACUGAGACACGGCCCAAACUCCUACGGGAGGCAGCAGUGGGGAAUCUUCCGCAAUGGGCGCAAGCCUGACGGAGCAACGCCGCGUGAGUGAAGAAGGUUUUCGGAUCGUAAAGCUCUGUUGAGAGGGACGAGAGAUAUAAUCAGGAAAUGGGUUAUAGAGGACGGUACCUUUCGAGGAAGCCACGGCUAACUACGUG